AGCAUUGUGGCACUAUAAAUAGGAGAGGAGGAGGGAGGAGGGAAUACGCACUACCUCCUACUUACUUUCACAGGUACGUUGUGAUAGAAAGCUCAGUGGUAAGCUAUGGCUGGAGGAGGCAAAAGUGGUGCAGCGUCGUCUCUUCUACUUGUGACGCUGCUCGUGACGUUGUUGGCCUUCUUCGCCACCGACGCCUCGGCUGCCCGUGUCACACCCCGUCAGCAAUCCCUCGCCAGAGCGGUACUGAGUGCGUUGGGGGAGAGGGCAGAUGGGCCGUGCUGCAGAUGCAUCUGUCCUCUCAUUUACCCACCUCCUUUUUGCGUUUGCGCCGGCGUGUGGCAAGGCUCCUGCCCUUCCGCCUGCACCAACUGCCAGUGUGUCCUGAACGAGUGCACUUGCAUUGACCAUGUGGACUACAAGGCCUGCGAGGCCGACUCCUGUGGCUGGCUUGAUGGCGUCCCCAAACUAGAGCCGUCGCAGCAGUGGGCGAUCGAAGAAACCGGUGGGAAAUUAGGGAUGAUGGUGUGAUCCGAUUGCGUUUGUGUUCGCCCGUCGUCUUCUCUCUCUCCGUCCUAUCCAUCUAUCCAUCCAUCUACUUAUAUUCUAUCUCGUGUACCGUGCGGUGUUGCUUCGCUUCGGUAAUAAAAUGCUUGUGCUUUUAUGGUGA